AAAGAAGGGAGAGGCGACCUCUGAAUACUGAUGUUUUUUACAAUGUCUGCUGUUAUAGACAAAAGCAGCAACUUCUACAACAAACGCAUCGUUGACGUUUCAUCUCAACGGUCGUUAGCUGGCUGCUAACGUUAGCUAAACACGCGUAAAUGAACAAGAGCUGUCAAGUGUCCGAAAUACAAAUAUAUUCAGUCAACCCAGAGAUGCUUCAAGUAAAGGAUGGACAAAACAACAGAAGGUCCAUGAAGGUUGUCAUGAAGACAGAGGGAGAAAGAUGGAGAAAAGGCAAAAUGAAAGCAGAUAUGUGCUAUUGUUGUUAUAUAAAGCAGGACGAGGGAAACCACACCUUACUCAGUCUGGACCAGUCUCACUUACUGGAAACCUGGACGCUACAGUACACUUCCUGUUAGUUCUGUACGCAAGUAAUCCCACUAAGAGUGCUGUGAUUUGUAGCAAGUGAAUCAUAAAUACACAUUUAAUCCCA